UUAGGGUUGUUUUAUUGU
rnacentral:siRNA from 1 species